rnacentral:lncRNA from 1 species
CUGCCAGUCUGGGUGGUUGGGAAUUCUUUGCCUUGUUCUCUUAGUGAAAAUAAUUGAGGUUUCUGGAUGAAUGCUCAGUUUAAUAAGCCAGAUACUCAUAUUUUUAGUCUCACCCAGAAAAAUUCCAAACACUGCCCAACCCAUAUACAACUUGGAGAGAUUGUCUGUGGCUAAGGCUCACAUAGGGACCCUCUCUCCUCCUUAGGUCUAUUUGGUUUUUAGCAUCUUAGACCACAUCACUCACCAAAAUCAGCAUCCUGACCAGUGAUAUCUACUCCCCAUACAGCUUCCAGCAGAGAGGCAGGACUAUUAGUUCUUGCUGAGGGUAAAUUUCAGUCCCUCCUCGCUGGGACGUUACAUAAAAAAUACAACUUCAGAGGAAUCCUCCAGAUUAAUUUCCAAUAUGUCUAAAAGGCAGUUUUUGAAAUCUUUUGUCCUUCCCUCUCAUUCUUAGCGUAAGGCCUAAUUUUUCAAAAGGGAUAUCAUAGUUACUUUCCAAAGAACACAUGCCUAUCAGGAGGAUAUUGUUACCCAGAGAGAAAUCCUUCAACAGACGUUUCAUUUUCUCCAACUUGAAGAAAUCCAAGAGUGCUUUUUUUAAAAAAAUUUCCUUCCACUAUUUUAACUUAUUUUUGUUGUCUUAGUUUGACAAUGUGAGAAAAAGGAGAAAAAGAGGAAUGGAUAAUAGUGAAAACAAUGUAUUAUGUCUCUAAAAUAAUAGAGUCUAAGAUUUAUAAGUUUUGAAAAUAACUUUUUAGAAAAUUAAGUAAUGAGCAGAUUCAAAAAGUUUAUGAAAAAGCCCCUACAUUAUGACAACUAAAAUUUUCAUUUUUGGCUAAGAAAACUUCUAGGAAAAGAGAGUGAUGAAGAUAAACAUUGUCACAUUAGAUAUCCCUCCCAAAGAGGAACAUCUAGUUAAAGAAAGGUCACUAGACUUGUGACUGAAAGUUUUUGCUAAGUGAGUAGCUAGUUUCCCAGAACAAAUCUUCAUCUCAUUAAAAUUCAUCAGAAAACCAAUUAGGCAUUUUGUCAGUAAUGUUCAUUACUUUUCAGAAGGAGGCUGAAUCACAUCAUGCAAAUAAGUUCUGUCCCAGGUUUGAAACAAUUUUAAUUUUUUUAAUUAAUAGAUUUUAUGUUUAGAACAAGUUUUAAAUUUAUGAAAUAAUUGAGAACAUAUAUGGUAUACAUGCUACAAUUACUAAGUCAAUACUGGAGUUCCUGUCAUGGUGCAGUGGAAAUGAAUCCGACUAGGAACCAUGAGGUUGUGGGUUCGAUCCCUGGCCUUGCUCAGUGCGCUAAGGAUCCGGCAUGGCCCUGAGCUGUGGUGUAGGUUGCAGAUUCAGCUUGGAUCUGGCAUUACUGUGGCGUAGGCCGGCAGCUGUAGCUCUGAUUAGACCCCUAGACUGGGAAUCUCCAUAUGCUGCAGGUGCAGCCCUAAAAAAAAAAAAAAAAAAAAAAAAGUCAAUAUUGACAAAUUAUUAUUAACUAAAGUUAAUAGUUUACUUAGAUUUACUUAAUUUUUACCUAAUAUUUCAGAGAUGAUCACAAAGGUAAAGGACCAUUUUCUUCAUAUCAUAUCAUACUAUCAGCAUUAGUUAUGGCCUUGAUCACCUCACUGAAGUAAUGUUUGUUACUCUUUAUUCUACCACCCACCACCUCCCCACCCGCCGCAUUUCUAUACUAUAUUCAUUGGAAGUCAUUGUGUCACACAUUGUUACUAGGGUCCUUUUAAUAACCAUGUUGAUUUUUCUUUUUUUUUAUUACUCAAAUGAAUUUAACCAUGUUAAUUUUUCAAAGAGAAACAUAAAAGUCACUUUCCAAGGAAACCUGAAUACUGACAUUCUCCCUACAGGCUUCUACAUUGCCUGACCACAUUCACCGGGACAGAGUGGGAGAGUUUCAAGGAAGCAUAACUGGAUUUGGGUUAAGAGUAUUCAAAGUCUACAUUUUUCCCUUGAUCCCCAGUGCCCAUCUCCACUAACCCCACUGCAAUUCUAAGCUUGAAGGUUAGUUUCUGAUAGAUUUUUCUCAAUGAAAAGUCAAGAGCAGCUCACCUUUCUACUUUUAUAAAUUAUCUGCUUGAUUUUCAGGCUUCACAAUGCAGAUUAGUUUAAAAAGUUUACUAAACCCCACCAGCAAAUGAUUUACUUUUCAUACAGUCCUAUGAGUGGUCCUGACAGGAGAGAAAUAAUCAGAUAUACUCCCUACCUUGAGUUGCUUUCUCUGUCUGGGGCUUCUUCAGUAACACUAGAUGCCCCAAAACACAGGCAUCAACUCUAGGGAUUAAUGUGUACCUGCACAAAGAAAUGGGUGCCAAGUCAGUGUCCUAUUGAGUUCUGGUGCUGACGGUACCUCUGUGAAACUAAGGCACGUCAUUUAACUCAUUCAUUAAACAAAUAACUAGCAUCAACAAUACAAGAGAAGCCACCUAUGCUGUUGGUGUGAAUGUAAAUUGGCACAGUCACCAUGGAGGACAGUAUGGUGGUUCCUCAAGAAACUAAAAAUAGAGUUACUAUUUUUAGGGGUGGGAUGCAGCAAUCCCACCCCUGGGCAUUAUUCAAGACAAAACAAUAAUUCAAAAAGAUACAUGCACACGUAAGUUCAUAGUAGUGCUAUUUACAAUAGCUAAGACAUGGGAGCAACUUAAAUGUCUAACUACAAAUGAAUGGAUAAAGAAGAUAUUGUGUGUACACACACACACACACACACACACACACACACACACACACUAGAAUACUAGUCAGCCAUUAAAAAGAAUGAAAUGUGCAGUAACAUGGAAGAACCUAGAGAUUAUCAUACUAACUGAAGUAAGUCAAAGACCAUAUGAUAUCACUUAUAUGUGGAAUCUAAAGUCUGAUACAAUGAACUUAUUUACAAAACAGACAUAGAGACACAGAAAACAAGCUUAUGGUUACCAAAGGGGACAUUAGAGGAGGAAGAGGGAUAAAUUAGGCAAACAAGGACCUACUAUAUAGCACAGGGAACUAUAUUCAAUAUCCAAUGAAAAACUGGAGUUUCCCUUGUGGCUCAGAAGGUUAAGAACCCACCUAAUAUCCAUGAGGAUGUGUGUUCAAUCCCUGGCCUCACUCAGUGGGUUAAGGAUCUGGCAUUGUCAUGAGCUGUGGUGUAGGCCAGCACCCACAGCUCCGAUUAGACCCCUAGCCUGGGAACCUCCAUAUGCCACGAAUGCUGCCCUAAAAAAGCAAAAAAUAAUAAUAACAGGAAAGAACAUGAAAAAAAGUAUGUAUUUUAUAUAUAUACUCACACACUCAUUAUAUAUUUUAUACAUAUACACACACACACGUGUAUGUACAUCAGAAACAACACAUUGUAAAUCAAUAUACUUCAAUAAAAAUAAAUAAAUAAAAAUAAAAAUAAAACAGUAUACCAAACAUUGGGACAAUUUCCUCAUUGUAAAACAAAGAAGCUAAACUAGAUAACUCUGAAAAUUCUAUGAUACAAAUCAAAUCUGGGAACUAUAGACACUGUAGUCUGAUGACCACUUCACAACUCUUACUCAUGGCACAAAAAUUUUAUUUGUCUUUCUCAGGAUUAUGAGGGGGGAAAAAAUAACCAAACUUUAUGAAUUGUCAUUUCUAUCCAAUCAUUUCAGGCUUAAAACAAGUGUUUAUAUUCUAGAAUAUGACCCAAUAAAACCUUGUUGGUUUUGUUGCUCAGAUCAAAGUCUUACAAAUUUUUCCUCAACAAUGAAAAUUUUCAGGGAAAGGAUUGCUCUUGGAUUGGAAGAAUCAAUACUGUCAAAGUGACUAUACUACCCAAGGCAACCUACAGAUUCAAUGCAAUCCCUAUCGAAUUACCAAUGACAUUUUUCACAGAACUAGAACCAAAAAAAAUUGUUUUAAUUUGUGUGGAAACACAAAAGACCUCAAAUAGCCAAAGCAAUCUUGAAGAAGAAAAACAGAACUGGAGGAAUCAGACUUCCAGGCUUCAGAGUAUACUACAAAACUACAGUCAUAAAAACAGCAUGGUACUAGCAUUAAAAAAAGAGAUAUAGAUCAAUGAAACAGGAAAUAAAGCCCAGAGAUAAACCCACAUACUUAUGGUCAACUAACCUAUGGCGAAGGAGGCAAAGAUGUAAAAUGGAGAAAAGAGUCUCUUCAACAAGUGAUGCUGAGAAAACUGGACAGCUACAUGCAAAAGAAUGAAAUCAGAACAUUCU